GAUCAAAAUAAAGGUAUUGACAUAAAAGAGAAUUGGCCCCACGGAGCGGUUUUUCUUUCUCGCAAAGUAUUGCGUUAGGAAAUCGGCACCCCCA
rnacentral:sRNA from 1 species